AUUCAAUGUCUGGAGCACGCGUCGGCCACUCCACCUCGGGCGCUCUGAAGCCGGCCGCAUGGAGACUGGGGGACGGUGGUAGGAUGGUCCUAGACCCCUUCCCUCUGUUUCUGCAACCUUGGUGAAUUGAAAAGGGAUCAAUAUCCUUUGUCAGCUCUACCAUACCAGAUGGUCAAGGGACAGAGGAAAAAUGGCAGGGCAGACCCCCUUGGAUUUGCCCACGUGGAGUUUGGAUAUUUACCUGGCUUCUUUGUCAAGUCUUGGGCCUGAUGCAGGUUGCAGAAGUAUGGCAACCGGUUCAUGUAUUCAACAGGUCAGGGGAGCUGUUACCACCGAAGGAAGGAUGAUAGUACUGACAGGACUGAUGGUAAUGAUGAUAUCUAACGUACAUGGAGCAGCUCUAUCUGCCAGACACUAAGAGGAGAAUGAAGAGAUGGAGGCAGGAUGUGUCAAUGUCUGAUGGACCACCUCACCAUCUGGGGAAGAGGGAUGCCUCUAGUGGGAUGAGAAACAGAAGAGCAAAAUCCCAAGUCCAAAGGACAUCAUGGAGGAAGGGAUUCUACUGGAGGGGCUCCACGUGGCUCAUCCCUUACAAAGAGAAUUGUGUUGCUGCAGAUGGCGAGCUGGCUCCGUGGGGAAAGGUGCUAGCCAUCAAGCCCCAUGAGCUCAGUUUGAUUCC
ensembl:processed_transcript BC006965 cDNA sequence BC006965